UGGCUCAGGACGAACGCUGGCGGCGUGCCUAAUACAUGCAAGUCGAACGGUCUUUUCUAUGGAAGCUUGCUUCCACUGAGAAGAUAGUGGCGAACGGGUGAGUAACACGUGGGUAACCUGCCCAUAAGAGGGGGAUAACAUCCGGAAACGGGUGCUAAUACCGCAUAGUUUUCUUGAUCGCAUGAUCGGGAAAGGAAAGACGGCCUUUGUGCUGUCGCUUAUGGAUGGACCCGCGGCGUAUUAGUUAGUUGGUGAGGUAACGGCUCACCAAGACGAUGAUACGUAGCCGACCUGAGAGGGUGAUCGGCCACAUUGGGACUGAGACACGGCCCAAACUCCUACGGGAGGCAGCAGUAGGGAAUCUUCCGCAAUGGACGAAAGUCUGACGGAGCAACGCCGCGUGAGUGAAGAAGGUUUUUCCGGAUCGUAAAACUCUGUUGUCAGAGAAGAACAAGUUGGAGAGUAACUGCUCCAGCCUUGACGGUAUCUGACCAGAAAGCCACGGCUAACUACGUGCCAGCAGCUGC
rnacentral:rRNA from 1 species